AAGUAAAAGUCGUAACAAGGUUUCCGUAGGUGAACCUGCGGAAGGAUCAUUACUGAAAAGUUCCCUCAAAAGAACCUAUCAAUACCCCACCCCAUUGUGUUUACCUUACCACGUUGCUUCCACUGGACAGGCCGGUCUCCUUUCGGGGGGACCAGCCCGCUGGCGUCGACUUCAAAAAUCGAUUUGCUGGGGAGUGCCGGUGGAUAGCCAUCCAAAACUAAAAACCAAAAAAAUACCUAAAUCAAGCUCUCUAUCGUCUGAACAACUGUUUUAUAACAAAAAAAACAUUAUAAAACUUUCAACAACGGAUCUCUAGGCUCUUGCAUCGAUGAAGAACGCAGUGAAAUGCGAUACGUAAUGUGAAUUGCAGAAUCUCGUGAAUCAUUGAAUCUUUGAACGCACAUUGCGCCUUAUGGUAUUCCAUAAGGCAUGCCUGUCUGAGCGUCAGCUCCCCCCCAACUCAAGCUCUUUUGCUUGGAUUAUUUUGGAUAAGCAGCUGGUUUACCGGUUGCUGUUCACAAAUUCAUAGGCAGUAUGGUUUUCUUUCCAGGCUGAGCGUGAUAAAUUUACACUUAUACCGUUCAAUAUUGGAGGAAUCGUACUCGCCACCUUAACCCACAAUAACUUUUAAUAUUAUGGGUGACCUCAGAUCAGGUAGGGAUACCCGCUGAACUUAAGCAU
rnacentral:rRNA from 1 species